UACGGGGGGGGCAAGCGUUGUUCGGAAUUACUGGGCGUAAAGGGCGCGUAGGUGGCCAACUAAGUCAGACGUGAAAUCCCUCGGCUUAACCGGGGAACUGCGUCUGAUACUGGAUGGCUUGAGUUUGGGAGAGGGACGCGGAAUUCCUGGUGUAGCGGUGAAAUGCGCAGAUAUCAGGAGGAACACCGGUGGCGAAGGCGGAUCUCUGGGCCAUUACUGACGCUGAGGAGCGAAAGCGUGGGGAGCGAACAGG
rnacentral:rRNA from 1 species